UAUAUAAUAACCAUAUAAAUAAAUGCAAUGCAAACAUAAUAUACAAUAAUAAACAUAUUAUUAUACAUGAUAUAAGAUUGAGGUAGGUAUAUUCAUGUUAUAUAUUUGUUAGAAACUAGUGCAUUUCAUCUGGUGUUUUUUGUGUUUUUACUUCUUGUUUUGUUUGCUUUUUAACUUUCCUUGUAAAUAUUUUGUAACAUUUUACUUGUAAUGAAAUGGAUCAUGGCUUCAUUUCCCUACUGUGAAGCAGGAUCCCUGGAGAAGGAAAAUAUAAUAUGUAUUGAGAUGAUUUCUCAGUGACAAAAAAAAAUAUUUUUGAGUGUCUCUCAUGAAAGAAAUGUUCUACAAAAACAAAAAACAUAAUAUGAUAUAAUCAUAUAAUAUAUAACAUAGUAACAUAACAUGUAUAUCCUAUAUGUAACAUAUUUCUACAUAUUUAUUUGUUAUCUCCUCUAUGUGAGUUCCUGAAGGACAGGGACUCCCUUUUGUCUUUCUUUGUAUCCCCAGUGCUUAGCACAAUGACUGGUUCAUAGCAGAUGCUUAAUAAAUUCCCAUUGACUAAUUAGACUGUCUAUAGAUGCCUUGAACUUCUGUGAAUUUCAGUGGCAUAAUUGUUCAUCAAUCAUUCUUCCCUCUUAAUAUAAGCAUUGUCGCUGAUACUUUACUUCAGAGUCAAGACUUAGCUCUUAAAUCACCCACGCCGCUUUUUUCAACCUGAAAGAAGCAUUAUUUAUUUGGCCAAAUGCAUAGCAAAUGAAAACAGUACAAAAACCACACCAAAAGAAAUCAAAUUUCUAAAAAUUGCAGUGUUGUCUUCCUGCCAGGGUAGAAUGACCAGACAUUGUGGUUUUCAGAAAAUGUCCUUGUGUUGUGAAGGCUUUCUGGCUCCAAAUACUAAAAUUAGUGCUUUGUUCCCAUUCCUGGAGUUAAAUUCAGGCAACUGGAUGAAUCUGACUUAUUUUGGAUCUGAAGCUCACCUUGCUGUAUGUACAUCCUUGAUGCCAGGAUAAAUUAAAUUAGACAUGAAUUUGUCAUUGUGGCCUGAGCUGUGUACUAGGGGUUAGUACACAGUUAGUGAUUGGGUAUUGUAGGGUGGAGUAAUUGCUUUAUUUCUGUGUUUCUUGUUUUGGUGAGAUCCUCCAGCUUACCAGCUUACUGAAUUAUCGUGGAUGUUACUGUGCUACAAUUCUGCCAAAGAAGCAAGCAUUUAUGAACUAUCUACUAUAUGCCAGACCCUAAAUGUGGAGACACAAAGGCAAAAAUGAAGCAGGUCUUGCCCUUUUGGAACUUCUUUGCUAAAAAGAGAGGCAACAUACAUAUAUCUAAGUUAUAUAGAAAACACAUGCCAAACCAGUGCAAGAUAAUCGUGAGGAAGGAAGGUAGUAGGAGUGGGGGAAAUCAGAAAAGCCUCAUACAGAAGGGCCUUGAGAGGGAAUCUGGAGAUUUGAGAUGUGGGUGUGGAAAGGAUGUGUAUUCCUCACCCAACUGACUGCCUAUGCAAAAUUCUGAAAAUUGGAGAGGGCACUGCAUAGAGGGGACAGAAUUAAGACUAGAUUGUCUAGAUGGUAGUGCAUGUGGAGAGAAGUAAUAGGUGACAAAAUUAUAAAGGUUCGCUGGGACCAAGUUGUGGACCAUAUUAAAAGGGGGUGGUUUAUAUUUGACCAAGGAGGUAAUUGGGAGCCAAUAAAGUUUAAUGAGUAAGGAGUUUUAGAAGAGGGAUUGUGAUAUGAUGAGACCUACAAUUGAGCAAAAGAAGCUAUGCAGAGUCUAGAUUGGAAAGAGAAGAGACUUAAGGCAGAGAAACUAAUUAGAAGGCUAUUGAAAUAGUGCUGUGAGAAGUGACAACAGGCAAUAUGUAAGGAGAAUGUGAGAGAAGAAGAUGGAUACAACCCUCCUGUCCCCAACCCCAUCAAAUCUCCCAUUUUUUUAUUCCCAUUCAUAUGUAAGAUUUUCUAAAGUGAACUAAAAUGCCACACUGAAAAACAAACAAACAAACAAUUGUAUGGUCCCUAAGUAAGAGGCUGGAUAAUAAAAAGUGAAGAGGGACCAGAAAAGGAUCUUAGAAGACUUGUGAAACAGAACUCCACAUUUACACAAAUUGUUGCUUUGGGUAGAGAUUAUUCUUGUCAUCUCCAAAUCUAAAUUUAUAGGACUUGAGUGGGGCCAAUAAUAAUGCUUAGUAGGAGAAUAGUAACAAAAGACAAAUUGAGUCAUGAUGAUGAAUGAAUGAACCAUUUAUUUGAAUAGGAAUUCCUAGUCAUUUUAACAGAAAAGCAGCAUUGAAUAGCAUAUAAAGAACUGACCUUGGAGUCAGGAAUACCUAGAUUUGCAUUCUACCUCUGACAUAUAUUAGCUGAGUGAUCAUGGGUAAAAAUCAUUUUAGAGCUCAGAGCCCUGAGACAGUUCUUAAAGUACAUUAGUUACAGAUGAUUUACCGAUUUAUGUCCAUGGAGGAAAUUUCUAUUCUGAAAUUAUGGACAAAGAUGAAAUUUAUUAAAAACUUAAUGCCAGGCAUUGGGUUAAGUGUUAGACUUGCAAAUACAAGAAAAGAAAGACAGAGACAGAGACAGAGAAGUAGUCCCUACUUUCAAGGAGUUUUCAUUGUAAAUAGAAGAUUUCAUUUGGAAAUGCAGGAAAGCUAGGAAAAGGAGGUUCCUAGGAGCCAGCUACUGGUGGAGAGGUGGAAAAUUCUGGAUAAAUGAGCAGGACUGAUGGGCACUUCCUUAAAUGGUGGUCCUAUCCAUGGACCCACCAAUCAGAGAAGAGAAAUACUGGGAUAAGAGGUAUCUUUAGUGUGAGAAAGCUGCUAGUGAGUAGACAGAAAAGUCUGGAGAAUUUUCUCUUAGGUCGGGAAAUUUUAUGUAAUUUUGUGCAAAAUUGUUAGAGAGUACUGUGAAUCUGAGAAGAAAUUAAUUAAUUGACCAAUUUUAUCAUCUACAAAAACGACUGACAUGCCUGGCUCCACAAAAGAGAGCAAUAGUUGUGGGGGGUUUUAAUAGAAUGCCAUGCUUUUCUUCUAUGAAAUGAAAUUUUAUAUUAGACAUUAAAAUUGGAUAACUUGGCGUUUUCUAUCAUUCCAUUUUGAAAGAUUAUGGGAGAGAAGUCAGGAAAGGAGUAUGUAAUGGUGAUUUAAACAGCCAAAGAUUUAGAAUAAGUAUUAUAUAAAUAAAUCAAAAUCUCCCUUUAUGGGAAAACUUUAAUACGUGAAAUAUUUGAAAAAUCUAGAAUGGUUAUCAUUCAUAGUAUUCAUUCCCCUCACAUUGAACAUACAUCUUGCUUCUCAGAGCCAGUAUGUUAUUUCAGUCACUUCUCCCAUUCCAGGUCACAUUGAGAGGGCUUUCCUUAUUAUAGAUAAAAGCACAGAAAAAUGAAAAACUGGAAAGUGUUGAUGUGUUAUAAUGGCUACAGUUAUAGCUUCAGAGUGAAGAUCUAAGUUCAAGUCUUUAUGCUGCAUACCCUAUCCCAAACACAAUGUGUCAUGUUUUGCUCCUUCCUAAUUCUAAUAAUUCUUAAGUUCCAAGUUGUUUUUUUCCCUUCUCAAUUUUUUGAGAUUGGCAGUUAGAGGUUUUAUAUAUAUAGACAUAUAUAUGUGAAUAUAUUCAUUUUUGUAUUUAUAUUUUAUCUGUAAUAGACUAUAUAAUAGGUUGUAUAUAUAAUCUCUUACAAACAUUAAUGAAUAUGUGGCAAAAAAAAAGAAACAAAGGCCCACUAAGUAGAGCAAAAUUGUAUACAACCAAGUUAUGUUUUUAUUUAUUUUUCCUUUGCUUGGAGGCACCUGACUUUUAUUCUUCAUUAUCUCUAAUAUUCUUCACCAUUCUCAUUUCCCACAAUUAAUUAACUUCAAAGAACAGUUUGUGAAUGGGAAAGUUAAAGGUCCCACUAUCAUCUGCUUUGGUCAUGCUUCAUUUGGUAUAUUAUAUCCAGAAUAUUUUAGAAAGGACAUUGAAAAUAUAGAGUAUCCAGAGAAGAAUGCCCAGGAUGGUGAAGGAGCUGCAAAUCAUGCUAAAAGAGAACCAGUUGGAGGAACUGUUGGCAUUCAGAAUGGAAAAGAGAAAACUGUGGGGAGAGGGAAAAAUAGCUGUCUUCCAUGUAGAAGAUGAUAUCUUAGACUUGUUUUGGUUAAUCACAAAAGAUAGAACAAGAAGCAAAGAGGUAGAAGUUACAAGGAGAUCAUUCAUUGUCAAGAAAACUUCAUUGGAGUUGCCCAGAAGUCAGAAGCUCUUUUGAGACUUAAUAGGUCACUUCCUACUGGAAGUCUACAAGCAAAGCCUUGGUGGCUGUGAAGUAGAGAGGAGUUUGGUUUACUUAAGGUCUCUGAAAACCCAUGUUUCCCUGAAUAAUGAGAUUAAUGGGUAAUUAUCACUUCCAGGAACUUGAUGAGCUCUUUCUAUUAUCCUGUGAGUAAAAUGCAGUUAAACUAAAUGAGGUUUAUUAUUUGUACAAAUAUCACAGCAGGUCUUCCCUACUCAUUCUGCUAAUUCCCUUUAAAAAGAUGUUGUUGAAACACCACACUGAGGAGCCUAAAGAACAGCUAUAUGUCUUAAAGGUGAAAGGAGCAAGCUGGCAUAUUCCUACCAAAAAAGCAGAAAUGAUAGAUUCAUUCUGCUUCUCAUAACAUCCAAUGUCAGUAGGAAUGUAAGAGUGAUCCUGUAGAUGGGUUGUGUUUAUAUGUGAAAAGGCCACCUGGGAGUUUUGUUUGGCAUAGUAAUAACAGAGGUGAGGUAGGGAUCAGAAAGACUGAUGCCACACAGAACAGCUGGAAGAUAAACAUUCUCUUAGAAUGAAUCCCCAUUCUUUAGUUAGCUACUUAAUGAGAGUUCUUAUGUACACUGUCUACCAAAAGCAAAGGACUGCCUCGUGUUCAUUGUGUGUCUUUGGCCAGGCAAUCGGAUUACUUGAUAUCUUCAUCCCUCUCACAUAAGGGAAAUCAGGCUUUUGCUUUUUUUUUAGAGUCCUAUUAGUAGAAUUUGCUGGACGGUAGGACAGUUUGUACCAAAUUGAAUUCUUUAUGCCAAAUACUAAUAAUUAGGCAAUUUUCUAUUUUUCUUUUCAUUUUUUUACUCUAGCUUUUCCUUUCAUGAAAAUCAAAAUCCUACCAUUUAAAAAUCUUUAUUAUGAGUGUUAGCUAGUGUUUUCAGCUCCUUCUGAACACAUUUAAGGCAAUUAAACUGUCAAACACCUAACUGCAAAUCAUCCUGCAUUCUAUACCUUGCCAUAAUAUUUGGUCUCUUCAUCUAGGAGUACUCAUCCGUCACGAUGUAUCAGUCUUAUUGUUCAACCUCUUCCUUUUGGACUUGUAUCUUACAUCCCAGUCCCAGUUUGUUACUUCUGUUACUUUGCCUCUGUUCUAGAUCAAGUUGGGAAGGUUUUCCUUGUGUUAGAUAACAGCACAGAAAAAAUAAGAACUAGUGAAAGUCAGUAUGUUAUAGUGGCUAGAGAUUGGCUUCAGAGUAAAAAGAUCUAGGUUGAAUUUUCCUAUCUAAUUACAGGUAGGCUCUGUUUUCUGGGAGGUUGGGGAUACCCUCUUAAACUUCAGACUUUCCUUGAUGUUAUUCUCAGCUUAUUUUAUGGAUUUUUACCACUUUCAGUUUUUGGAGGCUAAUGUUAUAGUCUGAGGCAGGGAUCCCCAAACUUUUUACACAGGGGGCCAGUUCACUGUCCCUCAGACAAUUGGAGGGCCGAACUAUUAAAAAAAAAAGACUAUUAACAAAUCCCUAUGCACACUGCACAUAUCUUAUUUUAAAGUAAAAAAAAAAACGGGAACAAAUACAAUAUUUAAAAUAAAGAACAAAUAAAUUUAAAUCAACAAACUGACAAUAUAAUGGCCUCUAUUAUAGGAGUCAUUAUGUUGUGCAUCUAGGGAAGUAUGAGGGCCAUCAUACUACCAUGUUUCCCCAAAAAUAAGACACUGUCUUAUAUUAAUUUGACCCAAAAAACAGGGGGUGUCUUAUAAAACAUCCAGUGGCAGUGGUGGGCUUCUCAUAGUAGAGGCCCACUGCUGAUGUCACAGGCCAGAUCACCAUUAUCCAAUGCCUAUAUACAGUACUGGAGGUGGUGCUGGGCCUGUGACACUGUAUACAGCUGUCUGGGACAGCAGAGGCUGCAGCUCUGGCUGUGAUGGGCCUGUCACACCUUGCACAGGCCCAUCACUGCCACCACUAUACCGGGCAGCAGUAUACACAGUGCGGAAUCCCCUCCCCCAGAUCUCCACUCACCAUGCUGACAUCUUCCAUUGUGCAGCCACAUAAUCCUUGUGAGGCGCCUCGUUCUCUUUCAGUUACUCUCAGAACAAGACCCCAUGCAAAGCAUUAUGUCACCAGAAGUAGUACUGCAUGUGAGCAACACCACGCUUUAUGGCGCCGCCACAUACUGUGCUCCUCUCACUGACCAACAAUGAAAGAGGUACCCCUUCCAGAAGUGUGGUGGGGGCUGGAUAAAUGCCUCAGGGGGCCACAUGUAGCCCACAGGGCAUAGUUUGGGGACCCCUGGUCUGAGGGGCAAGAGCUCUGAGAGUGUACUCCCCUUACUGAUUUGAUUGACUCCUGAGAUGCCAGUGGCUUAAGAACUUGCCUCAGGCUUGAGCAUAAGCUUUUGAUCUCAUUCUGAACUUGAUCAUAUCAGGGGCUGAUCAAAUUCUAGCACUAGGCUUAGACUCGAUUUUUUUGGUCUCACUGUGUACUUGAUCCAAUCAGGAUACCUUUGAUUGCCCUGUUACUCUUAGUUUUGGGCAAUAAGACCUGGGCCCUGGGCCCCACCACCACCCUGUGAACUGUGUCCUUACCCCAAAGUGUGAACUAUGUCCCCAUCCCAAGUUCCUGGGAUUCUUGACUUUGCCCUGGUCCCAAAAGGAUCAGCCCAUUUUAGCCCAGAGGGCUAAGACUCCAGACUUCUCUACAGGUUUGAAAUUUCAAUAGGUGUAGGUUGGCUUGUACCACUAUUUGACUAGGGAGGAUCUCAGGAUCUGAAUGUUGGCUUGGGAAUAGGUUCUGAACCUGUGACAGCAGAUGUGAGGUGGGGUGACUUGCUCUUGGCUUGUUCUUCCCUCUUUGCUAUAGCCUCUUGCUGUCUCUGUUCGCCUCUCACCCCAGUGUCCCAGAUGUUCUCUGCCUACCUUUGGGGUUUUUCUUUUCUUCAAAUUUGUUUAACUCUGUUUCCUUAUUGAUCCUUUCAUUCCUAUAUUCAUUUUGUGAUGAUAUUUUAAUCUUGAUCAGAGAGGAUUCUCAUAGUGACAUGAAGCAGCUCUGGCUCACUCCACCAUCUUGGCUCAGCCCCUUAACUCAAGAUCUAGGUUCAAGUUCCUAUCCUUUAUACCCAUCCCUAUCACAAAGUAUCACCUUGCUUCUUCCAAUUCCAAUUCAACAAAUAAAAUACAUCCGUUCAAUUUGCCACCCAAAUAUUCAUUCCUGAUUUGAAAGCCAACCCAAGUCAGUGUUCUCUUACAUGCUAUCUUUAUCCCAAUAAAGCAUAAGCAGGACACAGACAGUGAACUCACAAUAGGUUCUCCCCAUUCAGCCCAUUGGGGCUGUUAUUAGGGGAUGAAGUGGGUAGCAUACUGGGCUUAGUAUCAGGAAAACCUGAAUUAAAAUCUAGCCUCAGAAAGCUUAUUAGCUGGGUGGCCCAGGGCAAAUCACUUAACCCUGUUUCCUUCAAUUUCCUCAUCUGUACAAAAACAAAAAAACAAGACAAAACAAAAGUUAGAGAAGGAAAUGGCAAACCUCUAAGAUAUUUUUGCCAGGAAAACCUCAAAAUAGGAUCAUGUAGAGUUGGACAUGACUGAAAAGACUGAACAACAACAAAACCACUCUUUGUUUCUCAGGGUCACAGCUUCAUGGGUGAGAAUCCAUUUGCUUUAAGUACCUUCAUAUCCUUGAAGACUUCCUUUGAUGGAAAGGACUGCUUAGAAAUUCCUAAGGAUAGUACCAAUUUGAGUCAAACAGUUAAUGAGCUCAGGUAGCUGGGUUACUGCCUUAGGUCACUAACUCCUCUUAAGCUUCUAUCUUUCACCUUCAAAUUCUACAUUUUAUGCCUAAGUCUAAUGUCCACUCACUCCAUAUGCCCUCUGUCUGUUAGCCUUCUCUGAGUCCUGCUUGUCCGUGAAGAGGAAGAAAGAUAAAUGAAGCUCUGUCAGGAAAUCAUAAAAGAGAUAUGCUAUUCCUCUUACACUUUGAUAAUUUCCAACAUUCUACUCAAGGAAUUUUAAAAUGUACACUUGAAAUUUGUGUCUAUAAUUCUACUAUUAAAGAAGAUAAAACAACAGAAGGAGAUAUAUUGGAAUAAAUCAUGAAAUAUGAGACACUUUUUUGAAAACCAGUGAAUAGACUGAUUUUUAAACAUUUGCUAGUGAUCUGAACUACAUUUUAUGCCCAAAUGUACAUCCUUUUCCAGAGAAUUUAUUAUUCAUAGUGCAAUAUAUAACUAAUUAGUAACCAUUUAUUAAAAGAGUAACUACUAUGUGCCAGUCUUUGUACUGAGCUUUGAAGAUAUAAAAAUAAAAAGUAAAAUGACAUGUGACUAUAAGAAGCUUACAUUCUAAUGAAGAAGACAAGUUCCUAUAAAAUUUUAUGUACAUAGUAUAUGCUAAAUAUGUACAAAUUAGUUUGGGAAGAUAAUACCCAGCUAGGGUUGCAGUCAAGAUGUUGGUUGGGAAAGGCUUAAUGUAGGAAGUGGUACUUGAACUGAGUUUUGAAUGAACUCAGAGAAAGAGGUGAUGAGGGAAAGGUUAGCCAGUGAAGUGGGUUUGGAGCAAAGGAGGGAUGUUAGAGCUAAUUAUAUAAAGUUAUCUGGGAAUUGUCUGCAGAGACAACAAAAUAAAUUAUUAUAUUUAUAUUUGAUACUACUAUGGAGAAGAAAAGGUUGGCUAUCUAUUUUAAAGUUCUAUUAAGUAGUAUAUAUAAUAUAAUCCUUUUAUGAGGACUUCUGAGCCCCUAAAAUUUGCUAGGUUUUGAUAUAUUAAUAAAGAGGUGUUUUAAGUGACCUUCAUGGCUUGUAUAGUGAUUAAAAUGUUCAAUAAUAUGUCUGCUAUGGGAUAUAAAGUUGAUUCUUAUUGGAGUCAAAUGGAUGAUGCCUGUCUCAGUCUAGACCUUUAAAUUGCAUAUUUGUAUUCAAUAGGUUUUCAUCAUAAUUAUGACAUGCACUGCUCAAUCUUCUAAAUUUAAAAAAAUUGGUCCCCAAAGUGUUAUGCAAAUCUGUUGUUGUUGUUAUUCAGGCAUUUUCAGUCAUGUCUGACUCUUUGGGACCCUAUUUGGGGUUUUCUUGGCACAGAUACCACAGUGGUUUGCCAUUUCUUUUUUCCAGCUCAUUUUAUAGAUAAAAAACCUGAAGCAAACAGGGUGAAAUGACCUGUCCAGACACACAUGGCUAGUAAAUAUCUGAGAACAGAUUUGAAAUAUGAGUGUUGCUGAUUCUAAGCCUAGCUCCUUAUCCACUGUGCCACUUACCAGUCCUUUACAAAACACAAAUAAGCCUUUCAUUCAUUACAGGUGCUUCACUGAUCCCUCAAAUGUAUCAAUAACAUUCAUAGGUGGAUAAACUGGAGGCACUAGUGAGGUUUCUCAACUUUUCUUGGGGUAGGAAGGAAGAGAAUUAAAAUGGUAGGUAAGGGUCAGCUUGGUAGCUUAGUGGAUUGAGAGUCAGACCUAGAGAUGGAAGGUCCAGCAUUCAAAUCUGGCCUCAGACAUUUCUUCACUGUAUGACCCUGGCCAAGUCACUUAACCCCAAUUGCCUAGCCUUUACUGCUCUUCUGCCUUGGAACCAAUACACAGUAUUGAUUCUAAGAUGGAAGGUAAGGGAUUUUUUUAAAGAUAGUUAAAUAAUAAGUAAAAAGCCAAGUCAUGGUUUCCUACAAAACCGUAGGCUACUGAAGCCAAAAUAUAAAGUGAGCUACCAUUUAUAAGUAUCUUUAGGAGUUUCAAACAUAAUCAUAAGCCCAAGUGUUUUGAAUGGUCUAUAUUCUGUCUUUCUUUCUUCAUGAUGGUCCCAUUCCUUUCAAUCUUUUCUUACUAAAUCAAAAUAGAAUUGAAUUUCAUGUGCAGAAACAAUUAGUACCUGGAACUUGGGUAGACAACAAAAAGAAAGCCAUUUAGUUAGCUAAUGAAACCUCUGUGGUGUGUGUGUGUGUGUGUGUGUGUGUAUUCUGGUUUGGGAGUUGCUUUUGAAGGACCCUAUUAAGCAGGACUUCUCAAGAAAAAUGAAAAUUCCUCUGAUUGAGUUUUUGUCACAGUAAAAGAUUAUCAUACUAUUGGCCCUGAAGUUGGAUUGUUAAAACCUCCCUUAUGGAUGAAAAACAUUUCUAAAUAUGAAUGCACCCCUAAACAAAUCUGAGAUAAGUUCCCAUUAUUUACCAUCAUUAAGAUGAUUUUUGAUCUAUUUCUUCCUAUGGUAUCUUUAUAGAACUCAUCUUCAUUCCCACUACUUCCUUCUCUUAGCCUGAGAAUCUCUUACCCCUUAGAAUAGGGUUUCCCAAUCCCAAGUCAAAAAUAAGCACUGGUCACUGCCAAAUUUUUACUUUUCCUACCCACCAUUCAUAUUUCUUUAAAAUCAACAUGAUUAAGGCAAGAUAAAUUAUAAUGUGAAUGUUUUAGUACUACUCUGCAUUAUAAUUUAGAUGAAAUACUGUUUUAAAAGAAGAAAUGGGUUCAGAGCUUGGGAAGAGACACAGCCUGCAAAGGUGGAAAAGAUAUCCAACCUAGGGUUUUUUUAAUGUUUAUAUUUUUGUUUUUGUUUUUGUUUUUUUUCCCCUUGGGCAGCUAUGGUAUGAAAUAGAUAGAAAAUUGGACCUGAAGUCAGGGUGACUCAUCUUCCUGAAUUCAGUCUAGCCUCAGACAUUUAAUAGCUGUGUGAAUCUGGGCAACUCAUUUAACCCUGUUUACCUCAGUUUCCUCAUUUAUAAAAUGAACUGGAAAGGGAAAUGACAAGCCACUCCAGUAUCUCUGCCAAGAAAACCUAACUGAGGUCAUGAAGAGUUAAACCCAUCUGAAAUAACUAAACAUUUUUUUUUUCUUCUUAGCCUUCAUCUUCAAUCUCACUUCCCACCUCUCCCCUCUUUGCCCUACCAUGUGUCUCCAUCAACAUUUUAGUAAAUAUUUUGGCCCAUUGUUAAUUCUUUCCUUAAGGAUGAAUUCCUGUGGGUCUCAGCUGUCUUACUUUAUAUAGAAAUACCAUUAAAAGAUUAUCUUCAUCAAUUAAAAGAUGAUUCACUUUACAAAAUAAUUUCUUAUUCAAAGAAAUUACUAAUCAUGAUUUGAUUAUAUCACAAAUUUUCCUGGUAUAAUUAAUACAAUGUUUACUUUGCAAAUGUUUCAUUUACUUUUCAUUUUUCCAGUCCUUGGCACAUUGCCUGCUACAUGAUACUUAAUAAGUCUUAAUUGAUUAAUUGAUUGAUUUACACACAGUCUCAAGAUCCUCCUGUGUGAAUUACUUCAAGAGAGGGGUCCCCUAUCUUCUUCAAUUUCUUCAGAUGUAGUGACUGAGAAAAGAAAAAUUCCCUGAAGUACUUCAGGGCACACAUUUGAGGCAAUGUGUUCUCUCUGCCCCCUAUCUUUAAAAGGCUUCAGUCAUAGAGCCAGAACUAUAAAAACAGAUGGAGUGGUAUAACGACAACUGAGGGAGAGGGUGUAUUCACAAGGACCUUUUGAAGACUUUGGUGCUCUUUAGCAGCUAAUUAAAUCAAGCAACAGGGCACCUAGUCCCUUUUCAUCUGAAGGAUUAAUUUGCUGGAAAACGAGAUCUAUCUCAUAAGUAAAAUGUACUUAUUCUGACAUUUAUAUGGCUUUCGAUUUAAGCCUUUUUCAUGGCAGUGUAGCCUCAGUGUGUUGGUUUAGGAUGACAAGUAAGGACUCCAGUGUUACCAGUACAGAAUUGUGGAAACCUGUCAGUCACUCUACUUCCUUGGCAUCCUUCCUCACCUGCCUUUUUUUGUGACAUAAUAUUUCAGGAUCUCUAUUGGUUAGAUCAUCAGAAGGGAAUGACACACUUGCUGAGGCUAUUAAAUAGGUGAGAUUAUUUGGUCUAUUGGUAAAAACCUUCAAGUCAAACUUUAGUUUUAAGUCAGGCAGAAGGACAGUAAGCCCAUAAGCUACUGAGCCAUGUCCUGAGACAAGAUCAGAAGUUAUUCCCCACAAGCCUCUCCACCCCCACAAAUCCCAGGUGCUUCUCUAAAGAGUUUCCUGCAAAACAUCAACUAUUGCUUUGGCCUUCCCUGACUUCCGUCAUGUCUUUCCUGUUGCAAACAGACAUAAUAAGUAGACUUUGGUCAGGAUUUUCCUUUUGCUUUGGAUAGAACUACUACAAUGAAGAAGGACCAGGUGCUAAUUGUCAAACUUUUGCUGUGUGAUGUAUUGUCAAGGAUUCCUGUGAUAGUUAUUUUCAUUCAUCUUUAUUCCUAUGAGUGUUUGUGUAUUUUCAUCCAUAUACAUAUGGUAUUCAGUUUCCAAAAACAGCCCUUAAAAAAUGAGACAGAUAUUAAUUUCAGCUACAUUAUCUUUUACCAUGAAUAUUUAACAUGUAUUGACAGAAACUAUUUCUCUCCUGCCUUUAUUCUUUUAUACUAAUCUCCCAGUGGAUUUAACAAAAAAUCUGCCAUUUUGUUUUAUUAUACAGUUAGAAAAAAGAAAACUUAGAAGUUGAUAGAAUAUUCAAUUAUGUACAGGAUUUAGACAAAGGUGUUUGUUUAUUCAUGGAUCUCCAUCUAAACUAAGGUCAAAAUAAGAUAAUUAAAACAACAGGAAAAAUUUAGGUUUUCAAUGAAGAAUGACUUAUGGUGCUUGAUAAUAAGGAAAAUGUUAAUUGUGGAACAUGACUAUAUAAAGUUCAUUAGUUUUAUACUUCACUUAAAAAUACUUUGGGUAUAUAUGUGUAUAUAGAUAUAUAAUAUAUAUAUAUAUAUGUGCCUGUAUAUAAACCUUUCCUUUAUUUUAUCCUUAAGAUAAGUGUAUUUUAAAGAUUAGAUAAUUAUAAAUAUGCCACUUUACAGAUAAACCAAGACCCAGAGAGAUUAGGUGACUAAACAAGAAUCAUAUAACUAAAACUAGUUUCUUUCCUUUUUUUUCCUGACACAUCAAUAAAAAGGCACUGAAAAAGCACUAGGGAUAUCUUGGUUUGCACAUUUGUAUUUCAAGGAUAUGUUAUAAAGAGGACAGAUUCCUUUUAUAUACCCUUUCUAUAUGGAGUCCAAAGCUGUCACACUCUGGUGUGGUCUUCCAUAUCCCCCUAAAUGAGAUUUGCACCAGGCUUCUCUUGGAGGUAAAUUUCUAGUUACAUUUCAGUUCCUCAAUUGUCAUGUAGCUAAAGUUUGCCCUGACAAGAGAUUUGGGGCACAGGAACAUAAACCACAAAUUCUCUGCCAAUUGGGCAAUUUUAUUAGCCUCCUUUGCUGGGGAAUAAAAUACUUUUUUCUUGCAUGUUUUCCCUGAGCCUGGAAUAUACAUUUCUAAGUCAGAAUAGUGGUGGGGGAAGGGAAUAGGGUAUGAAUGGAGAGGAAAAAACUGUAGUUAAAAAAAAAAAGGACUAGAUGGACUUUACAACCAUAAAUGGUAAAACUAACCCUGUUCCACUGCCAACUAACAGAACAGCAAAGUAAGGUUUUGAUUUACAGGAACAGCUCAGCAAGGGCCUUGUAGAGAGCUUCAUGCCUGCUAUAAAAAUGUGAUUAGCUAUAAAACAGAGAGAUUUAACAAGAGAAUUUAAGCAUAGGCAACAGCCUUGGUUCAAAAGGGGUGUGUGUGGGGGGGUGCUGCCUGCUUUUCUAAUUCUGGGAACCCAGCUCUGUUAAGAGCAGGGCUAGGAGCAUUCAUUUCACAAUUAGCAAUCUUUUUGAUUUAAGGGGGGGGGGGAAGAAAGGGGAACUAGCCUUGAACUUUGUGAUUGAUUUUAUUUUACCUUUUUAAUCUACUGGACUUAAAUUUGAGGCUUCCAGAGCCCUACAGAACUGCUUUAUUCAAUUCCUUGUAACUAAUACCCUCCUAGGAAAACAUGGCUGAGAAUACAAGUUUAGGAGGAGGAGAAAGCCAAGGUGGAAGUUGGGGGGGAGGUUUGGGAGGGUAUUUAAAGUCUUAUGUCUCCUUAACCUGUGGACAGAAUUACUUCCUGGGGCCAUUCCUUUAUGGGUUGGUUGGUUGAUUGGUUUGGGUGGUGUGUGUGUGUGUGUGUGUGUGUGUGUGUGUGUGACAGUUUGGGUUUUGAACUCCAUGAUGGUACAUUGUUUCUCUAGCCAGGGAGUCUGACUAAAGUUCCUUUUAGUAAUUAAUACCCAACCUGGAAAGUUACAGUAAGGAUUAGGGAGGAUUUGGGCAAAGAAGAGGAGGCUGAAGUUGAUGAUUCUUUGUCAAAUAUCAAGAUACCUCAUUUGCAGUGUUUUCAUUAAUAACAGGUCACUUUUCCAGUUUCAGUUACCUGAUCUGUAAUGUAAAAUAUCAACCAUUAUUUUAUCUUCUGAUAAAGAGCCUGCCAAAGAAAGGAAGAGGGAGGGAAAGAAAGAAGGAAGAAAGGAAGGAAGGAAGAAACUAAGUACUAAAGAAGGAAGGAAGAGAAAGAGAAUAUGGAGGGAGAAAGGAAGGAAAGACUCUACAUGUUAACCCUUUACUACAUGACUUUGAUAUGGAAGUUCAUUCUAAAGAGUGACAUUCAUAGACUUCUUACUAUGGCUUUAAUAAUUCCAUAAGACACAAGGCAAAUCUAAAAAAGAGAAAUGGAGAGAAAAUUCCUUUUGCCAGAAAAUCUUUAUUUAACUGUACUUCAAUUAAUUAUAGUAUCAUGCAUUUCUGCAGUGCUUUAUAUCUCACAAAAGGCUUUCACAUAGUAUUUCUCUUAAUCCUCAGAAGAAGAAUAAAACCUUAUGAAACAGGUAGGGUUCUCUUCUUGACUUUUCUACUUUGUUAAUGGCAUUAUAAUCUUAGCUGUCAUUCAGACUUGAAAAAUCAGUAUCAUCUUUUCCUCUAUUUAGAGAGUCUACUUUCCCACUGUUUUGACUGUAUAAUUUUUUAUUAUUUAAUGGUCAAUUCAGAUGCUUUCUCCAGGAAGCCUCUGGUCCAUGCUCACCCACUCUCAUCUAUGAGUCAGAAAGUAUUUCUCCCUAAAUCUCGAUAACACUUUGUCCCUCUCUCAAAUCUUCACAUUCUAUCCCGUUAAUGAUUUGCAAGUGUCAUAAUGCUAACGACUAACAUUUAGUUAACUUAACAAGCAUUUAUUAAUUAUUUGUGAUGUGUCAAGAACUAUGGUACGUACUAAGGCAUACAAAGAAAAGAAAAGCAAUCACUGUCUUCAUGUAGUUUACAUUCUAUUCAGGGGAGAUGACAUGCAAACAACUAUAAAUAAGGAGAUAUAGAUGUAUGAGAUCCACUCAGGAUAAAUUGGAUAUUAUCUUAAAAGGAAGGCAUUUAUAUAAGGAGAAACCAGGAAAGGCUUCUUUCAGAAGGCAAGAUUUUAGUGAGACUUGAAGAAAUCCAGGGUAACUAGGAGACUAAAAUGAGUGAAAGAAUUCCAACCAUAGUUGUCACUAGAUCACAGAGUGUGUGAAGAGGAAUAAAGUGUAAGAAGCCCAGAAAGGUAAAAGAGAAUCAAAUUUUAUAUUUGAUCUUGGAUGCAAUAAGAAGCCCCUUGAGUUUAUUGAAUAGAGGAGUGGCAUGGUUAGAUCUAUGCUUUUGUGAAAGAUCACUUCAAGAACUAAAUGCAAGUUGAUUGGAGUGGUAAAAGAAUUAAAACAGGAGGCCAAUCAGAAGGUUAUUGUAAUAGUCUAACACAAGGUUUUGAAGCCUGAACCAGACUGGUAGCACUAACUGAGGAAAGAAGAGGACACACAUAAGAGAUGUUAUGAAGAUAGAAUUGAUAGAAUAUGUCAAUAGAGAAUGGAUAUUAAGGAGGGGGAGAGAGAAUAAUAAAAUGGGAGGAACUUGAAUGGCAUGGAAGGAUGGACAUUUAUAUACCAUUUAGUGGUAGUUCAUAGUUUAUAGUAGUGUAAUCGUUAAUAAGUUAUAUACAAUUUAAUAGUUAGCCAAUCAUUUUUAUACAUUGCUUUCAUUUUAUGAUGGGUGAUUGAGACAUUAGAUCAAUAAUAAAAUUGUUCUUGAUUAUACAACUAGUAAGAGUGAGAGCUGGAAUAUGAACACAAGUCCAAUGAAGUAUAAAUUCAAAUUUCUUUUCAUCGUGUCACCUGCUUCUUAUUUUUCCAUUGAGGAUAAAAUUUCUUUGAGAGCAUAGCCACAACAUAGUCAUUUUUUAAAAUUGUACUUCCUCUUCUUCUAGCACCUAGCAUCAAACACAGUACCUUUCAUAUAGCAAAAACUUGAUAAAUACUUGUUUAGUUAAUGAAUGUGUUAUACUGGCCAGAUUUGAGAGAAUGUUCACAGAAAACAAAUGCCUGUGUAGAUAAUUUUCAGUUGCUUUCAUGAAGAAGUAUAAAAUUUAGUAUAAGAUAGUUCCGAAUGAUCCCUUUUAAUUAAACAUAUUUUUGUAUUUUUCUUAUUUUUAUUAUCAAAGAAGGGAAAGUAUAGUAAUUUACCUACAUUAUAACUUAAUACUCUCUUUAAAAGUAAUAUAGAUUCUUACUGAAGUGGGGCCUGAAUUUAAACAUGGGUUCAACACAAGACUAUAAUGACUUCAAGAGACUAUGUUGGCCAUUCCAUUUGUUCAAAAUGGCAUGUUUCAAAAUCCUCUUUUAAAGAUAUAAUAGAGAUAAAAUAUAUGCCAAAGGAAGCCAAAAGUACUGUUUGUUGCAGACUUACUCAAUAAUACAUUCUUAAUCCCUGGACAUUUCAAAGUAAUUGUAGGCUUCUGCAUGGAAACAAUUUUCUGAUUCUGAGACUAAGAUAAUUCAAAUUGUAUGUCCUUAAAUACAAUAAUAAGCCAAAGCCUGCCCUUGGUUGCUUUAUAGAAGUCCAAUUGUAGUCAGUUAUGUUGACAUAAAGAAUUUGGUUUUAAUGUUCCCCUGUGAUCUAAAGUUUUGUAUUUUCCUCUAGGGACACAAAAAGUGGCAAUUGCAAGAACUUGUGAAUAUUUCAUAGACUCAUAAAUUUCUAUGUAGAUUAAAAUUUAUAAUUUUUAUUAGUUAGUUUGUCACUUCAAAGGAAAAAUUGAGAAAUUAAACGGGUUUGACAUGAGGGAAAUUUGUAUUUCAUGAAUGACUUGCUUUGGGAUAUUUUUAGUUCCAUUUAGUUACCAAAGGCAUUAUUUUUCCUUCCAUUUUAACUAAUAAACUUUGCAUUCAAUUUAUAAAAUCCUCUUGAAAAAAAUUUGCCUUUAUCAGUUUCAUACUGUAGCCUCAUAUAUAAAAUUAAUUCUAGAACUGUGAUAAUUAUUCAGAUAUUUCAAGCAAGUAAAUUAUUUUACUUCAAUAACUUUGAAAUCUAAGGCUAGAAUUACCCAAACAACUACAUCAAUUCUCUACUUCCAUUUUUUGUGUGUAUGUAUCCAAAUAUGGAUGCAAUAUAGCUAAAAGUAGUGUUUCCCAAAAAGUUUUCAAUUCUUCUCAAACCUAUGGGUUCUCCUGAGAAAUGGAAAAAAUAGCUAGAGAAAGCAAGAAAUUAGUUUCUUUUCCAAAUUUCCCUUUAAAUCAUUUGCUGAUUAGCUUACAAUUUUUAGCUGAAAUUAGACUUUUUAAACUCUUAACCUGUAAGUCUUUCAAACAGAUGCUUAUUGUAAUUUCCCUUAUUCUUUGCAUAAAGAAGGUUACCACUUUCAUAGAUGUGGUCAUACUAUUGAAAAAAUGGAAGGAAAUCUAUACUCACAACAUACCAUGGACUUCUCCAUGAUUCAACAGUAAUACAUGACCUCAGUGUAAGGAAAUAAUUGUUUAAACUUAUCAACCGAUAUUUGGAGUAAGUACAGGAAAGUAAAAUUAAGUCUGGGAGAAUCAUUUGUCCCCUCCCCCCCCCAAAAAAAAACAAAAAAACAAGCAGUCACAAAACCUUAGGGCUAGAAAACAUUAUUGAUGGUAUCUAAACCAACUCUAGUACUGAAAAUGAGAAACAGAGGCAUAGAGAGGUGAUAUAAUAUCAUUAAUAUAAUACAGUUAUUUAGAGGGAGAGACAUGGAGAAUGAAUUAGGUGCUAUUUAAAUGAGAAUUAUUAUUGUGAAGCUAAGCAUGUAAAUACAAGUAAAUAAAAUAGUCCUAACUCUCAAGGAGCUUAUAGUCUAUGGAAGGAAGACAGUAUAUAAAGGGAAGUUUCAAAAGGGAAUGAUAGAAUAGGAGAGUAGCACCCCAGGCAAGACCAAGGCAGAUUAUGAGUACGUCAAACAGGAAUUCUAGGGAGGAGGGAGAGGAGUAGAAGGAAUUGCAACAAGUAUCUUAGAUAAAGAUCUACUUUAUAAAAUAUGUAGAGAACUGAGCAAAAUUUAUAAAAAUAAUAGCCAUUCUCCAAUGUAUAAAUGGUCAAUCUGUAUAAGAAUUUGGAAUGGCAUACAUAUAUAUGUAUGUAUAUACCAUAGAUUCUUUGAUCCAGCAAAACUGUUUCUAGAUCUUUUCCAUAAGAGGAUGAGUGGAAAAAUUUCCAUGUUUGCAAAAAUAUUGAUAACAACUCUUUUUUUGUAGUGACAAAGAAUUGGAAAUUGUAGUUUGAACAAGUUAUAAUUUAUAAAUAUAAUGCAAUACUCUUGUUCUAUAAAAAAUGAUAAAGGGGAUGGUUUCAGAAAAAUCUGGGGGGACUUAUGUGAACUGAUGCAAAAGGAAAUCAAUUGUGAAUGACUCGGUAACUCUGAUCAGUACUAUGGUCUAUCAAAACUCCAAAAGACAAUAUAAAAUGCUCUGCAUCUCCAGACAGAAAACCAAAUGGAUUUAGGGUACUGAAUGAAUCAUUUUCCCCUUUAUUUUUCUUACUUCUUUUUUGGAACAUGACUAAUGUAGAAAUAUGUUUUGCAUAACUGUAUGUGUAUGAAGGGUAAUAUUUCUUGCCUUAUCAAGUGGGGAAAGAGGUGGAAGGAGAGAAUUUGGAACUGAAAAUGAAAAUAAGGAAGAUAAAAUACUAUUUUUGUACUGAAUUUACUCUAUUGAGUGUUAUUCAAUAACAAAUUAGCCUGUCCUUAUAGAUCAGAGGAGUUAAACAUUGGUUGGCCAUAGUCUACAAUACUCCCUAGUUCUAGGUAAAAAUGUAAUUGGUAUAUGUUUAUUUUCUUUUUUUAACUUUUUCCUACCUGGAGGAGUGUCAGUCUUUAUUUUCAUUUAUUUAUUUAAUUAUUUGAUUUUCCUGUGCCAGAGCUGACAAGAAAUUCAAGUAGGUUAUACAUGUAUUAUUACCUACUUCAUAUUAAUGAUUUUUUGUAAUAAUCUUUUAAAAACCAAAACCCCUCAUCCAAUACCCAUAUAAACAAGUGAAAAAUAAAAUAUUUUCCUUCUGCACAGUUCUUUCUCUCAAUUGGAUAGCAUUCCUUUUCAUAAGUCCCUCAGGAUUGUCCUGGAUCAUUACAUUGCAUCGGUUGCAAAGCUGAUCGUCCCACAAUGUUUCCGUCUCUGAGUACAAUAUUCUCCUGGUUCUACUCAUUUCACUUUGCAUCAGUUCAUGAAGGUCUUUCCAGCUCAUAUGGAAAUAGCACAAUAGUAUUCCAUCACGAUCAUAUACCACAACUUGUUCAGCCAUUCCCCAAUGGAAGGACACCCCUUAAUUUUCCAGUAAUUGAUAAAUAUUUAGCAAAAUAAACAAUUGAAUAAAACAAAAACUACAUUAUAUUUUAAAAUUAAGUCAAUAUGCAAAGUUAUAGACUGAUUAGCACUCCAUUUCUAGUUUAAUGUACCACUACUGCUAUAGAUCCUAUGGAAAAUGAUAUAAAUUAUAAUGUAAAAGAUACUUUAUAAUGUUAUAUUUCAUUUCACAAAAAAAAAGAA